GAUGAACGCUAGCGACAGGCUUAACACAUGCAAGUCGAGGGGCAUCACGGGAGUAGCAAUACAACUGGUGGCGACCGGCGCAACGGGUGAGUAACGCGUAUGCAACCUACCUAUCAGAGGGGAAUAACCCGGCGAAAGUCGGACUAAUACCGCAUAAAACAGGGACACCGCAUGGUGAUAUUUGUUAAAGAAAUUCGCUGAUAGAUGGGCAUGCGUUCCAUUAGGUAGUUGGUGAGGUAACGGCUCACCAAGCCGACGAUGGAUAGGGGAACUGAGAGGUUGGUCCCCCACACUGGUACUGAGACACGGACCAGACUCCUACGGGAGGCAGCAGUGAGGAAUAUUGGUCAAAUGGGCGAGAGCCUGAACCAGCCAAGUCGCGUGAAGGAAGAAGGAUCUAUGGUUCGUAAACUUCUUUUGCAGGGGAAUAAAGUGCAGGACGUGUCCUGUUUUGUAUGUACCCUGAGAAUAAGGAUCGGCUAACUCCGUGCCAGCAGCCGCGGU
rnacentral:rRNA from 1 species